CUGAUAAGUUAGUUUGUCUUAUUUCAACAGUAAUAAGAUAUUUACACCAGAAACUAGAUCAAAGUUAUUUUGCAGUGAGAAAAUGUUUUAAAAUUAAUAAAAUGCUCCUGCUGAUCAGUUUCCUGUUUCUGGUUGUUUUUGGACCGAACUGCACAGACGGUAAGUGAACCUGCUGAGCAGACUGGACCGACGGAAACAGCAGCAUCAGAACCGAGUCCAAGUUCAUCUGGUGGAUUUACUGUUAGCUAAAACAGACGUGAGCAAAUGAGCAGGUGGGAGAAAAACAGGAAGUGGGACAAUCUAAAUGAGACGCCAGGUAACAACGAGGCCUUCCUGCUGGAAUCAUUUCCACUUUACGAGAAGCUUUAAUAAAGUUUUGACCAUUUAUUGAAUAUUUAUUGAGUAUUUUAAUAAUUAGCAUGUAGCUUUUUGCACAGCUGCUCCUCAUUAGGUGAAUUUAGUUGAUAAUUACCAGAGGAAAUGAGAGCUGCUGUUUAGUGAAACCUGAGCACGUGUGUGUGUGUGUGUGUGUGUGUGUGUGUGUGUGUGUGUGACCUAUUGAAGGUGUGUGAGCUGGAGCAGUGAUGGAACCAGUCCGCUGUCCUCUGCAGGCGUUUGGACAGAUCCGUCCCCGGGGGUCCGGACACCCUCAGCAGCUUCUGGGAGCGGCCCUGGAAGAGUUUCAGCCUGAGCCUCAGCUGGCUGAAAGCCGCUUCGCUCCGAGAGCCGGCGCAGUAAACUCUGCAGCUCUCAGUCAGAUCAAUAUUCCUCCAGGUUCUGAUCCGCUUUGAUGUGGACGGCAGAGCGAGGCCGUCCGGGGAGAAAGGCAAAGAAAAGAGGCUUCAUUAUUUCAGACGGCUGUCAGCGGCUCACGUUCAAUUAGCAGCAAAACGAAUGUCAGGCUGGAAACCAAGAGGCUGCAGGACGGAAAAGCAACGAGCCACAACGUCUCUGACGGGCCGAGACACGAAACGAGACACAAAGACUCAACCAGCAGACUGAACCGGCUCCAGGCUCCAGGUUCCAGGUUCCAAGCUGCAGGUUCCAGGUUCCAGGCUCCAGGCUGAGACUCCAGUGUUGCUCUAGAAACCAGCAGACUGAACCGGCUCCAGGCUCCAGACUCCAGGUUCCCAGCUGCAGGUUCCAGGCUCCAGGUUCCAGGCUCCAGGCUGAGACUCCAGUGUUGCUCUGGAAACCAGCAGACUGAACCGGCUCCAGGUUCCAGGCUCCAGGUUCCAGGCUCCAGGUUCUAGGCUCCAGGUUCCAGGCUCCAGGUUCCAGGCUCC